rnacentral:rRNA from 1 species
UACGGAGGGUGCAAGCGUUAUCCGGAUUCACUGGGUUUAAAGGGUGCGUAGGCGGGCAGGUAAGUCAGUGGUGAAAUCCUAGAGCUUAACUCUAGAACUGCCAUUGAUACUAUCUGUCUUGAAUAUUGUGGAGGUAAGCGGAAUAUGUCAUGUAGCGGUGAAAUGCUUAGAUAUGACACAGAACACCGAUUGCGAAGGCAGCUAGCUAAAGUACAAUUGACGCUGAUGCACGAAAGCGUGGGGAGCAAACAGG